rnacentral:rRNA from 1 species
AUAGGGUGUGAUGCCUGCCCGGUGCCGGAAGGUUAAGAGGAGGAGUCAGCCGCAAGGCAAAGCCCCGAAUCGAAGCCCCGGUAAACGGCGGCCGUAACAAUAACGGUCCUAAGGUAGCGAAAUUCCUUGUCGGGUAAGUUCCGACCUGCACGAAUGGCAUAACGACUUCCCCACUGUCUCGGAGAGGCCCUCAGCGAAGUAGCACUAGGGGUGAAGAUACCCUUUACCCGCGGCAGGACGGAAAGACCCCGUGAACCUUUACUGUAACUUGGCACUGAUUUUCGGGUUAGCUUGCGUAGGAUAGGUGGGAGGCUAUGAAGCCGGGGAUUCCGGUCUCGGCAGAGCCAACCUUGAAAUACCACCCUGGCUAACCUAAAAAUCUAACUCGCUUCCGUAAUCCGGAAGGAGGACAAUGCCUGGUGGGCAGUUUGACUGGGGCGGUCGCCUCCCAAAAAGUAACGGAGGCGCGCGAAGGUUCCCUCAGCCUGAUUGGAAACCAGGCGCAGAGUGUAAUGGCAUAAGGGAGCUUGACUGCGAGACAAACAAGUCGAGCAGGUGCGAAAGCAGG